UGAUGAUUGGCGAAUGUGUGUGUGUGUGCUACAGGAGAUCAUUGGUCAUACUAUUGAUCGUCUCUCUCGCUCGCUCUCUCACACACACACAUCGUGUCGAACCUGUGAUAAAAGUGCGUCUUCCUUACUUCGGUACGUCCCUAUAUCAUCUUCUCUCUCUCUCUCUCUCUCUCUCUCUCUCUCUCUCUCUCUCUCUCUCUCUCUGCUGCUGCUGCUGCUAUUUCUAAAGCUAGAUCCUCCCCUUCAGAGCGACUGUGCCAGGAGGAGGAGGGCUUUUACUACUCUGGGGAGUUUAACCCUCUGCCACUGUCUCUCGGCGCUGCAAGCAAUUCCAGCUACUAAAUACCCUGCAACAAGUAGCUUUUUGGCCUCCGCCGUUUGACUUUCGAUUUGGUAGCCCUUUUGGAAAUGUUCGUGGACUUUUUUCCUGCAGCAGAUUCCAUCAUUUUGUAUAUUAUUUGGAGUUAUUGCGCAUUGCGUUUGUAUAAGUGUUUCGGUAGCUACUGUUUUUAACGUACUCCACGGCAUGUUGCAUUGGCUCUUCGCCAUGUCGUCCCUCUUUAGAAGAUCAGGAUGUGUUUCUUCAUGCUGAAGAUGAAGAUGGCUGUGUUUUCGCUGUCCCGCUCUCUUUCUCUCUCCCUCUCUUCCUCUUUCCUUCCUGUGUUAGGAGAGUAGGAGGGCGGUGCAGCAGUGGCAGAGGGUUUUUUGGGACAGGUGCCAAUUUCAAACAAAAGACACAACAACGCAAUGAGAUAACUACACUAUGUUCUGGAUCUACUACCCUGGUGGAUAAUAAGGCCUGUCUGGAUUUCAACGCCCUGGAUUUUGCAUCCAUAGUUGGUGUGUGAUGCAACUGUCUACCCAUGUCCGAUUUGAGGCCGGUGGUGGCUGGCCCGCUCCAGGAGUCUGAGGUGCGGGAGGUUCCUCCGCCCCUUCUGGACAUCGAGGGGGCCCUGGGGUACUCCGUUCGCUCCAUACUGGAUUCGAGAUGUCGGGCGAGGGGCCUUCAGUAUCUUGUGGGAGGGGUAUGGUCUGGAGGAAAGGUGCUGGGUUCCGGUCGAGGAAGUGUUGGACCCUUUAAUGCUGCAGGAGUUCCCCCGUGUUCGUCCAGAUCACCCUAUGCCUCGCGUCAAGGGGGGGGGGGGGGGGUACUGUCACGACGAAGUCGGUCCCUCUCCUUGUUCGGGUGACGUUCGGCGGUUGACGUCACCGGUCUUCUAACCAUCGCCGAUCCACCUUUCAUUUUCCAUUUGUUUUGUCUUGUCUUCCCACACACCUGGUUUCAAUUCAAUCAAUUACAUGUUGUGUAUUUAACCCUCUGUUCCCCCCAUGUCCUUGUCCGGUAUUGUUUAUUGUAAGUGCUUGUGCACGUUAUGCCUGGUGUGUGUCGGGUUUUGUACCCAUUUAUUGAUUGUUCUGUUUUCCUGUGGGUUUUAUUAUUAAACUGCGCCAUUGGAAACACAGUUUUUGCUUUCCUGUGUCUGACUUCUGUGCCGCCAGUACGCACCCCUUACAGUUUCUGGUUUGUUUAAAGAUAUUAUGUUGACUUCUAUUCAUCUAUAUAGAUUUGUUUUGUGUUUUACUGCUAUAGUGAAUUAAUAAAAGUUUUGCCCUGUUAUUUCAGUCAUAAUACAUGAAUGACUCUUUAUGAUUAGAAAUAACUUCAGUUAUGAAGGUCAUAGAUAAGAAAAUGAGGACAUAAAUCAGGAUACACCCAGAGGAAAGACAGAAUAACAGACAUAUUUUUAUUCAAGUUUUAAAUAGACAUUUAUAGUAAUAACCCACACGAUCUGCGAACUUCAGUAUGUGGGCCAAAAUAGCAAUGCUCAAUACAGAAAGUUUUUUUCUGGACAGAGAGACGAGAGAGAGCGAGCGUUUACUUUGUGCAGCCACUCGGGCCAGUAACUGUCUUGAUAUACUGUAGUCCAUUUUGGUACAGUAUUCUGAGGCCUGAUCACUUCAGCAUAUGGGAAUUCAGUCCUAAUUAUAUAUUUGAGCAGAGGUUUGGGGAAAGCAUAGGCCUGGGAGUGCUCCUGUACCAGUCAACAUAAAGUGAACUUGCACUCGGCAGACAAACUAUAUACAAACUAUAUGCCAGUUUUUACUAAAUCAAACAGCAAUACAUUUUCUCUGUAUUUGACCAAUGUUGCUCUUAUUUAAUUGAAUUUCUGUGCCAAGUUCUAUUUGCUACAUUGCUGAAAGCAUUUGUUUCUGUGUUUGUGGUUUGCUUGACAAGUGUUAUUGUACUUUCAGACUUUUAGAAGACUGUAAGUCGUUUAAAGUUGUUGUUUUAUUUUUGCAGGUUGAUUGGAUCUGGGGGUGACGUGUAGAGACGGAACAGACCCUGGAUUAAAGAUGGUGUGAACCUGAGAUGGGUCAAGGAGGAACAGGAGGCAAAAUAUGAUGUUGACACAUUGCACGCAUUGCACGUGUGUGCGUGCUAGUCACCAUUUCAUGUCUGAGCUCUCACAUGAGGAUCUUUUUAAGGACCACUCGAACUGUUCGUUAGAGACAAACCAACUGUCCUUUGGUGUGAGGUAGUAGGUUGUAUAGUUUUAGGGUCACUCCCAAGCUGUCAGAUGACUAUACAACAUACUGUCUUUCCUGAAGUGGCUGUAAUAUCAUCACAGACUCUUCACAUGAAGAACCCUUGGCAAAAGCUGCAAUGAAAAUGUACCUUUCGUGCCUACAUUAUUACCAUUCUUACAAUAUUAUUACAAUAUUAUUACAUCAUUUUAUAUUUGAACAGGAAAUUACUUCAGGUUAAUUCACAUUUUCUGGUUGGACUCCAUCUCUAACCAACUGGUCAACCGGACUGUGCCCGGUCGGUGGUUCAUGGUGUUCGCACAGGUUGAGGUAGUAGGUUGUGUGGUUUCAGGGUUGUGAUUUUGCCCCAUCAGGAGUUAACUGUACAACCUACUGCCUUCCCUGAAGGGCAGCAACACAACAUUACAAGCAUGGCCACAAUGGAGCUCACCGUCUACAGUGCUGUUUUUAAGUGGAGCGCAAAGUAAAGAAGGUAAGCUAUCUCAAAUCUUUGCCUUGGUACUACUGCACAACAUCUGCUAAAUAGAGUAUUUUAUGUCUUGGAAUUUGGAAAUAGGCCUAUUGUUUAUCAACCUUCAAUUUUGUAGUAAUGCAUACUGUACUAAAAGUCAUAAUAAAAAGUGAGUAGUCUUAGUCACAUAUGUGUCGACUCCUUUUGGUUGUCAAGAAUUGAAAGUAUAUAGUUAUGCAUGUUCCUAGAAAUACUGUAUGUGGCCAUUUUUUAUUCUGGACAUGAAGACUGAAACAUCUGCUGGGAGGAUGGAUCAAUCAAUACAUAAAGAAGAAUACAUGUCAGGAUUAAAAUAAUGUGUAACGAGA
rnacentral:lncRNA from 1 species